GACGAACGCUGGCGGCGUGCUUAACACAUGCAAGUCGAACGGAAAGGCCCUGCUUUUGUGGGGUGCUCGAGUGGCGAACGGGUGAGUAACACGUGAGUAACCUGCCCUUGUCUUUGGGAUAACUUCAGGAAACUGGGGCUAAUACCGGAUAGGAGCUCCUGCUGCAUGGUGGGGGUUGGAAAGUUUCGGCGGUUGUGGAUGGACUGGCGGCUUAUCAGCUGGUUGGUGGGGUAGUGGCUGACGAAGUCUUUGACGGGUAGCCGGCCUGGGAGGUUGACCGGGCUCCAUGGGCCUGCGGUACGGACCAGUCGCGUACGGGCGGCAACAGUGGAGAAUAUUACGGAGUGGGCGGGAGCCUGAUGCGGCAGCGCCGCGUGCGUGAUGCCGGCUUUCGGGGUAUAAACCGAUGUCGACUGAGACGAGGCGUGAGUGACGGUAGCUGGUAAGAAAGCAACGGCUAACUACGUG
rnacentral:rRNA from 1 species